GGAUAUGGUCGAUGCAGCUGUAGUGACAAUCUCAGAGCAGCUUCUGCACCACAGCCAUUUCCAGCAUGAAGAUCACUGGGGGUCUCCUUCUCCUCUGUACAGUGGUCUAUUUCUGCAGCAGCUCAGGUGGACUGCAGCAUUUACAAGAAGUAUCCAGUGGUGGCCAUCCCCUGCCCCAUCACAUACCUGCCAGUUUGUGGUUCUGACUACAUCACUUAUGGGAAUGAAUGUCACUUGU
rnacentral:sRNA from 1 species